CCUGGUUGAUCCUGCCAGUAGUCAUAUGCUUGUCUCAAAGAUUAAGCCAUGCAUGUGUAAGUAUGAACUAUUUCAGACUGUGAAACUGCGAAUGGCUCAUUAAAUCAGUUAUAGUUUGUUUGAUGGUACGUGCUACUGGAUAACCGUAGUAAUUCUAGAGCUAAUACGCAACAAACCCCGACUUCCGGAAGGGAUGCAUUUAUUAGAUAAAAGGCUGACGGGGGCUUUGCUCGCUGUUCCGAUGAUUCAUGAUAACUGACGGAUCGCACGGCCCUCGUGUCGGGCGACGAUCAUCAUUCAAAUUUCUGCCCUAUCAACUUUCGAUGGUAGGAUAGGGGCCUACCAUGGUGGUGACGGGUGACGGAGAAUUAGGGUUCGAUUCCCGAGAGGGAGCCCGAGAAACGGCUACCACAUCCAAGGAAGGCAGCAGGCGCCAAAUUACCCAAUCCUCGACACGGGAGGUAGUGACAAUAAAUAACAAUACCGGGCUCUUCGAAGUCCGGUAAUUGAAUGAGUACAAUCUAAAUCCCUUUAACGAGGAUCCAUUGAGGGCAAGUCCGGUGCCGCCAGCCGCGGUAAUUCCAGCUCCAAUAGCGAUAUUUAAGUUGUUGCAGUUAAAAAAGCUCAGAAGUUGGACUUUGGGACGGGUCGGUCGGUCCGUCUUCGCGGUGUGCACCGGUCGUCCCCAUCCCUUCUGUCGGCGAUGCGUGCCUGGCCUUAACUGGUCGGGUCGUACUCCUCCCGCGCUGUUACUUUGAAGAAAUUAGAGUGCUCAAAGCAAGCCCACGCCUGGAUACAUUAGCAUGGGAUAACAUCACAGGAUUUCGGUCCUAUUGUGUUGGCCUUCGGAUCGGAGUAAUGAUUAAGAGGGACAGUCGGGGGCAUUCGUAUUUCAUAGUCGAGGUGAAAUUCUUGGAUUUAUGAAAGACGAACCACUGCGAAAAGCAUUUGCCAAGGAUGUUUUCAUUAAUCAAGAACGAAAGUUGGGGGCUCAAGAUGAUCGAGAUACCGUCCUAGUCUCAACCAUAAACGAUGCCGACCGGGGAUCGGGCGGAUGUUGUUUUAGGACUCCGCCGCACCUUAUGAGAAAUCAAAGUCUUUGGGUGUCCGCAUAGCAAGGAUUGACAGACUGAGAGCUCUUUCUUGAUUCUAUGGGUGGUGGUGCAUGGCCGUUCUUAGUUGGUGGAGCGAUUGUUAGGAUCGGAGCAGCACUAAGAGGGGGGGUGAAUUAGUGCAGCGGAUUAAAACUUCGGUUUUUAAAAAAUCUUUCGUAUGAUAAGAGCGAAACUUGACAAGCUUAAUCUUGAAAGCGUAUUCUUAAAUAUGCGCAGCAAAAGUAAUAAGGAACUAAAGCAUAUAAGAAGGUUUGCAAUAAUGUAAAUAGCAAUAAUGAAAUGCAAACCAAGGAUCACGCCGAUUUUAGAGUGGUUCGGUCAAAUGACCUACUCCACUUGUGAGGCCCCUCUUCGAUGAGGCUCCCACCUUCCACUAGCAAGUCUCUUGAAAUGGAAGGGUAAAUACCCCUCUUACAACUCUUUACAAGCGGUUCACUCUCUUACAGAUUUUCGAG
rnacentral:rRNA from 1 species